rnacentral:rRNA from 1 species
UACAGAGGUCCCAAGCGUUUGUUCGGAUUCACUGGGCGUAAAGGGUGCGUAGGCGGUUUGAUAAGUCUGAUGUGAAAUCCCGCAGCUUAACUGCGGAACUGCAUUGGAAACUAUUUGACUAGAGGAAUGGAGGGGAGACUGGAAUACUUGGUGUAGCAGUGAAAUGCGUAGAUAUCAAGUGGAACACCAGUGGCGAAGGCGAGUCUCUGGACAUUUCCUGACGCUGAGGCACGAAAGCCAGGGGAGCAAACGGG